UAAGGAAUAUUGGUCAAUGGAGGCAACUCUGAACCAGCCAUGCCGCGUGCAGGAAGAAGGCCCUAUGGGUCGUAAACUGCUUUUUGAACAAGAGAAAACCCCGGUACGUGUACUGGGUUGAUAGUAUUGUUAGAAUAAGCAUCGGCUAACUUCGUGCCAGCAGCCGCGGUAAGACGAAGGAUGCAAGCGUUAUCCGGAUUCAUUGGGUUUAAAGGGUGCGUAGGCGGACUGAUAAGUCAGUGGUGAAAUCUCUCGGCUUAACCGAGAAACUGCCAUUGAUACUGUUAGUCUAGAGUACAGAUGAUGUGGGCGGAAUAUGACAUGUAGUGGUGAAAUACUUAGAUAUGUCAUAGAACACCGAUUGCGAAGGCAGCUCACAAAACUGUAACUGACGCUGAGCAC
rnacentral:rRNA from 1 species